GAACCUGAGGUUACUCUGGCUGGAUAUCUGUCAUUCCAUUGAUUGUGAGUUGAUGCAACUACCUGGCUGUUCAGGUGACCAUCCCCUUCUCCCUUACUGCUCAGGUAUGUCCCUUCCAAAGUUGAUAGAGGAUUUGUCUUUGAUCAAAGGUAUAUGAGUACCUGUGCUCUCCUGCUAGAACCUGUGAACAGGUUCUCAAGUUUUAAUAUAACUUUCGUAAAAGUUUUGUUCAUU
rnacentral:snRNA from 1 species